CGCUGGCGGCAGGCUUAACACAUGCAAGUCGAACGCCCCGCAAGGGGAGUGGCAGACGGGUGAGUAACGCGUGGGAACAUACCCUUUCCUGCGGAAUAGCUCUGGGAAACUGGAAUUAAUACCGCAUACGCCCUACGGGGGAAAGAUUUAUCGGGGAAGGAUUGGCCCGCGUUGGAUUAGCUAGUUGGUGGGGUAAAGGCCUACCAAGGCGACGAUCCAUAGCUGGUCUGAGAGGAUGAUCAGCCACAUUGGGACUGAGACACGGCCCAAACUCCUACGGGAGGCAGCAGUGGGGAAUAUUGGACAAUGGGCGCAAGCCUGAUCCAGCCAUGCCGCGUGAGUGAUGAAGGCCUUAGGGUUGUAAAGCUCUUUCACCGGAGAAGAUAAUGACGGUAUCCGGAGAACAAGCCCCGGCUAACUUCGUGCCCCCAGCCGCGGUAAUACGAAGGGGGCUAGCGUUGUUCGGAAUUACUGGGCGUAAAGCGCACGUAGGCGGAUAUUUAAGUCAGGGGUGAAAUCACAGAGCUCAUCUCAGUAACUGCCUUUGAUACUGUCUAUCUUGAGGAUGGAACACGUGGGAGGACCCCCGUCAAUUCCUAUGAAUUUAUACUUGCGACCACACUCCCCGGCGAGAAUGGCUUAUGGGUCAUCUACUGACACCGAAGAGAUAAUGCCCGGCGAGUAACAUGAUCAGUUACCGCGGUGACCACCACGUAAUCGAUGCUGUAGUCGCCAGCAUAGACGUUACGGUAGCACGGACACGUUACCUCGCGCUGGGGAUCUCGCAGAGUUCAAAUAACUAUACGGAAUCCCUAUCGUGAGACUGGUAUACUGACACGACACUAGCCUGGAUUCCGCUGAAUGACUUGCUAUAGCGAUAAAGACUGGUUCUUAUUCGUGAGUGUACGCGAUCGACUCAAUUACGGUGAGUACUA
rnacentral:rRNA from 1 species